rnacentral:rRNA from 1 species
UAGUCCACGCCCUAAACGAUGUUUACUAGGAGUUUGGAUUUAUUUGAGCUUCUAAGGGAAACCGAUAAGUAAGCCACCUGGGGAGUACGUUCGCAAGAAUGAAACUCAAAGGAAUUGACGGGGGCCCGCACAAGCGGUGGAACAUGUGGUUUAAUUCGAUGAUACGCGAGGAACCUUACCCGGGCUUAAAUGUAGAUUGCAUGACUCAGAGAUGGGCUUUCCUUCGGGACUAUCUACAAGGUGCUGCAUGGUUGUCGUCAGCUCGUGCCGUGAGGUGUCGGGUUAAGUCCCAUAACGAGCGCAACCCCUAUCGUUAGUUACCAUCAGGUUAUGCUGGGGACUCUAGCGAGACUGCCACCGUAAGGUGAGAGGAAGGUGGGGAUGACGUCAAAUCAGCACGGCCCUUAUGUCCGGGGCUACACACGUGUUACAAUGGUAGGGACAGCGAGCAGCUUAGUGGCGACACUUGGCGAAUCUUAAAACCCUAUCUCAGUUCGGAUCGGAGUCUGCAACUCGACU